rnacentral:tRNA from 1 species
GCGAGGGUUGCCGAGCCGGGUCAAAGGCGCUGGAUUUAGGGUCCAGUCUUGUAGAAGUUCGAGGGUUCGAAUCCCUCCCCUCGCA